GCAUGUGUCAGGCACUCAGACACUGAUCUCUGAGUUGAGGCAGAGCAGACACACUCAUGCAGAAGACGGUGUGCCACAUGCCUCCUCACAGCCUGCUCUGUGUGCUGGUGGCCUUGGCUUUCCCUGGAUGCAAUGUGGCCCAAACAGUGACUCAGGUCCAGUCAACAGCAAGCAGGAAGGAGGGAGAAGAAGUCACCCUGGACUGUUCAUAUGAGACAAAUAAUUUUGUAUACCAUCUUUUUUGGUAUAGGAAGCUUCUUAGUGAAGAGAUGGUUUUCCUUAUUCACCAACCUUCUGCUGAUACUCAAAACAAGAGGAGCGACCGCUAUUCUGUAGUCUUCCAGAAAUCAUUCAAGACCAUCAGUCUUGUCAUUUCAGCCUUACAACCAGAUGAUUCAGGGAAGUAUUUCUGUGCUCUCUGGGAGCUGGCACAGUGUUUGAAGUGACAGCACAAGCUGAACAAAAAACAGAGCUUCCCAUGAGGGAGGGAGCUGAACUGAAAAGUACACCUGCACAUCCUGAACAAGAAGG